CGUUGGCAGAAUUGGCCCCCAGCUCAUUUGAGUUUGAGACCCCUGCUCUACGGCAUUUUUCAGCUGGCUGACCGAGUGGUGUGUGAGUCUGAGGACACCCCCUCACUGAACAUCUGCCAGAUGCCCUGCAGCGAUUUGAUUGAUGAUGAUAUCAGUGAUGACAUCGACUGUGUGAAGGAUUUGAAGAGAACCCACGAGAAAAUGAAAUUGGACCCAAAGCAGAAAUUCAUGGCCCUCGCCAUGAGAGCCAAAAUGAUGGCUAUGAUGUUCCCCAUGGAAUGCCGUUCUGUUGUUGCCGCUGACUACUUUGCCGAGUGCCAAACGGACUGAUGAGACGCAGGGCGAUCUCUUGUCCUUUCCUUGUGAUAUCCUGCUCACAAAUACAAUGUCCGUUACACAGUCUUGGUUCUGGUGUCUGUACCUGGACCAUGUGUAAUGUGGCUUCCAUCAGCUUCUGUCAUUCUAAAAUAAAAACUGUUUGAACAACUGAAAGAAUUAGCUUGUCAUUGC